GAAACGCGAUAGUUAAUGUAAAUUGCAAAAUUUAGUAAAUCAUCAAGUCUUUAAACGCACAUUGCGCUCAUUAGUAUUCCUUUGGGCAUAUCUGUUUAAGCGUCAUUACAACCUUCAGCUAACCGCUGUUUUUGAACCUAAACGAAUAACACCGCACCAGUUUUAAAGUUGUAAGCUCUGUUGGCUACUCUACCCAACCAAAACAUAGUAAGCAUUAUUUGUUCGGGUAAAGCUGAACAAUACGGCCUGAAUAAAAUUUACCCACUCUUAAGGUUUGACCUUAGAUCAGACAAGGAUAUUUGCUAAACUUAAGC
rnacentral:misc_RNA from 1 species